GUCCAGUUUUCCCAGGAAUCCCUUCUGUGAUGAUAAGGGGAUUCCUGGAAAUACUGUUCU
rnacentral:pre_miRNA from 1 species